ACAUAUUAAAGUCGAGUUGUAUGCAGGAAAUAGAUGAAUACAUGGACGUCUACUACUUCCAAUGACUGUUUACGCUUAAAGCUGUUGCGAAUGUCAUUUUUUGACGGACAUUCUUGUUGCAUACGUCAUUUAUUGACAUACACAAUUGUUGCUAUCGUCAUUCUUUGACGGCUGUUAAUGAUGCGAUCGUCAUAUUUUGACAACCGUCAAUGUUUUGACAUAAUAAAUCUACAUGUAAACAUUGUAGUGUCAGUAAUACCAGGGAGUGAGAGAUGGAUUGAGUUGAAAUACAGUCAAUUCGGCCCCAAGUCAGAUCGGCCCCAAGUCAAAUCGGCCCCAAGCGAAAUCGGCCUCAAGUCAGAUCAGCCCCAUUUUUUUUUCUUUGUUCAUUUUCUUAUUUAAAUGUUGUUAAAAAAAUUGUGUGGAUUGGAAUAUCAAAUGACUAACAAUAGAUUACAUUGAAAACCAGAACAAAAGAUAAUAAUCAAUAUAAUUUAUUGUCUGAGUAUAACAUUUAUCUUCACUGUACUAAACUAUUUAUUGUCUAUAAACAUAUGAACAGUAUGUAAAUGUCACUUUUCAUGUAAUUGUCACUUCUCAAGCAAAGGUAAACUAUGAAUAACUUGCCUUAUUAGCUCGACUAUUCGAUAAGAAUAAGUAGAGCUAUUGUAGUAACCCGAGCGUCCGCGUCGGCGUAACCACUUAUGUUAAAGUUUUUGUAAUAGUUCAAAUAUUUUCAAAGUCCAUUGACAUAUGGCUUUGAAACUUUGCACACAUGUUCACCAUCAUAACCCCAACCUGUAGACAGGAAGAGGUAACUCUAUCAAGCAUUUUGACAGAAUAAUGCCCUUUUUGGACUUAGAAUUUACGUUAAAGUUUUUGUAAUAGUUCAAAUAUUUUCAAAGUCAAUUGACAUAUGUCUUUGAAACUUUGCACACUUGUUCACCAUCAUGACCCCAACCUGUAGACAAGAGGAGGUAACUCUAUCAAGCAUUUUGACAGAAUUAUGCCCCUUUUUGGACUUAGAAUUUACGUUAAAGUUUUUGUAAUAGUUCAAAUAUUUUCAAAAGCCAUUGACAUAUUGCUUUGAAACUUUGCACACUUGUUCACCAUCAUGACCCCAACCUGUAAACAGGAGGAGGUAACUAUAUCAAGCAUUUUUUUUUUACUAUCAAGCACUAAGAAAAGUCAUUGGCGUUGCUGUCCUACCGACAGCUCUUGUUACAAAUAAAUGCUUUCUGUUUUCUCAUUUUUAUGUCUUUAAAAGUUAUGUUUCUACAAGUUUGCAGAAAGGUAGACUUGUGGCGAUGAUUUGGCGGACAGUUUGAUUGAAGACAUUGGUAUACCUGCUUCCAAGCAAAGUGACUCGAAGCAUUUGAAGACUUGUGGAGAUGAUUUGGCGGACAGUUUGAUUGAAGACAUUGGUAUACCUGCUUCCAAGCAAAGGUUGUUCAAACCCAUGAACUGCACAGAGAGGAGAAAGUCUAUGGAUUGUGGGUCCAGUUCUAUAAGAAAGGAAAGCGACAAUUAUGGACAUUGGAGGAGAAAUCUUUCUUUGUUUGUUGGGAGGAUAUCAUUAAACAACUUGCUGAACCUUUACUGUCUAUGCAUGGAUCUAGAUUAUACUACAAAUUUCGAGUGUUUGGUGUACAGUUACACUUAAUAGCCCAUCAGAAAGGCCGACAUGGUGACUGGUGCUUUUACAUCCAAUUUGGUGCAGACUGUUUUCAUACUUUCUUACAAAAACUAUUAGAAAUAUAAUAGGGCUGGGAACGAAUAAGGAAUUCGAUGUUCGAAUAUUCGUUUUUCCAUAUUCGAAUAUAUUCGAAUAUUCGUUUUUACAACAUUUGUUC